rnacentral:snRNA from 1 species
CGCACUUCCCAGCCACUGGCUAAGAUGAAAUGCAUCACCUUUUCUUAUCACUUUAAUAUCUGAUACAUCCUAAGUUUGAAGAUUUUAUAUUAAAUGGAUUUGUAGGGCACAGGAAGGAGUAACCAUUUCCUCCAUCCACUCCAUGCACCAACCCAAAACUGUAGUGCUUCCAGGAACCAUGU